rnacentral:rRNA from 1 species
GAUGAACGCUGGCGGCGUGCUUAACACAUGCAAGUCGAACGAAGCACCUAAGUUGAUUUCUUCGGAUUGAUUCUUAGGUGACUUAGUGGCGGACGGGUGAGUAACGCGUGGGUAACCUGCCUCGUACAGGGGGAUAACAGUUAGAAAUGACUGCUAAUACCGCAUAACCCGCUAGGAUCGCAUGAUCCGGACGGAAAAGAUUUAUCGGUACGAGAUGGACCCGCGUCUGAUUAGCUAGUUGGUGAGGUAACGGCCCACCAAGGCGACGAUCAGUAGCCGGUCUGAGAGGAUGAACGGCCACAUUGGGACUGAGAUACGGCCCAGACUCCUACGGGAGGCAGCAUGGGGAAUAUUGGGCAAUGGGGGAAACCCUGACCCAGCAACGCCGCGUGAAGGAAGAAGGCCUUCGGGUU